rnacentral:rRNA from 1 species
AUUGAACGCUGGCGGCAGGCCUAACACAUGCAAGUCGAACGAGUGGCGGACGGGUGAGUCAUGUCUGGGAAACUGCCUGAUGGAGGGGGAUAACUACUGGAAACGGUAGCUAAUACCGCAUACCAUCGGAUGUGCCCAGAUGGGAUUAGCUAGUGGGUGGGGUAAAGUCUCACCUAGGCGACGAUCCCUAGCUGGUCUGAGGGGAUGACGAGGCCGACUGGAACUGAGAAACGGCCCAGACUCCAACGGGAGGCAGCAGUGGGGAAUAUGGGACAAUGGAGGCAAGACUGAUGGAGACAGGCCGCGUGUAUGAAGAAGGAAUGCGGGUUGUAAAGUACUGUCAGCGGGGAGGCGGUACCCGCAGAAGAAGCACCGGCUAACUACGUGCCAGCAGCCGCGGUAAUUC